AUGCUCGUUUUGGCAGCAGGUCUACUAAAUUGGAAUGAUAAAGAGAAGAUUAGUAUGGCCCCUGGGCAAGGAUAACAUGCAAAUUCGUGAAGUGUUCCAUAUAUUU
rnacentral:snRNA from 1 species